GUGAGGAAUAUUGGGCAAUGGGCGCAAGCCUGACCCAGCAACGCCGCGUGGAGGAAGACGGCCUUUGGGUUGUAAACUCCUUUUGUCGGGGAAGAGGAAGGACGGUACCCGGCGAAUAAGUCACGGCUAACUACGUGCCAGCAGCCGCGGUAAUACGUAGGUGACAAGCGUUAUCCGGAAUUACUGGGCGUAAAGCGCACGCAGGCGGCCGAUCAAGUCUGACGUGAAAUCUCCUGGCUUAACUGGGAGGGGUCGUUGGAAACUGGUUGGCUUGAGGUGGUGAGAGGGGUGUGGAAUUCCCGGUGUAGUGGUGGAAUGCGUAGAUAUCGGGAGGAACACCAGUGGCGAAAGCGGCACCCUGGCACUGACCUGACGCUCAUGUGCGAAAGCGUGGGGAGCAAACGGGAUUAGAAACCCUAGUAGUCC
rnacentral:rRNA from 1 species